rnacentral:rRNA from 1 species
AGUGAACGCUGGCGGUAGGCCUAACACAUGCCAGUCGAACGGCAGCACAGUAAGAGCUUGCUCUUACGGGUAGCGAGUGGCGGACGGGUGAGGAAUACAUCGGAAUCUACUUUUUCGUGGGGGAUAACGUAGGGAAACUUACGCUAAUACCGCAUACGACCUACGGGUGAAAGCAGGGGAUCUUCGGACCUUGCGCGAUUGAAUGAGCCGAUGUCGGAUUAGCUAGUUGGCGGGGUAAAGGCCCACCAAGGCGACGAUCCGUAGCUGGUCUGAGAGGAUGAUCAGCCACACUGGAACUGAGACACGGUCCAGACUCCUACGGGAGGCAGCAGUGGGGAAUAUUGGACAAUGGGCGCAAGCCUGAUCCAGCCAUACCGCGUGGGUGAAGAAGGCCUUCGGGUUGUAAAGCCCUUUUGUUGGGAAAGAAAAGCAGCAGGUUAAUACCCCGCUGUUCUGACGGUACCCAAAGAAUAAGCACCGGCUAACUUCGUG